CAAGUACUCCCUCCGUCCGGAAUUACUUGUCAUCAAAAUGGAUGUGUCUAGAACUAAAAUACAUGUAGAUACAUCCAUUUCAAUGACAAGUAUUUUUGGACAGAGGGAGUACAAG
rnacentral:pre_miRNA from 1 species